CAAACCGUGGACUCGUGGAGUUGUUACUCGCCCACUCCAGACUUUGCCACCGCACGCCCACUGCAGUUGCGAGUCCACCAGGCGCCGGCGAGGUGCCCAUCCAGCGAGCGCCGGCGAGGGGCGCGUCCAGUGCGCGUCGGCGAGGGGCGGAUCCAGCGGUCACUGGCGAGGGGGUCGUCCAGCGGGCGCCGGCGAGGGAGCGUUCGCGGGCGCCGGUGAGGGCCUGGGCAGCGGGCGCCGGCGAGGGCCUAGGCAGCGGGCUCCGACGAUGGAGCGUUCGCGGGCGGCGGCGAGGGCCUAUGCAGCGGGCGCCGUCAUCGUCCUCCUCCCUCCACUCAGACAUGGCAGGUGCUGCGCCGUUGCCUCCCUGCUCCCGAUCUGGACGGCGCCGCGACCCUCAUCCAGAUCCCCUAACGGCCGCACCUUCUACAGGAGGAGGGAGAGGGCCCGAGACCGGGGGGACAACGCGGCGUGGUGGCAGCAGCGCGUGCAGCGGAGAAGGUGUAGGAACUGCAGGACACGGGCGGCACUGCUGAUGCAGGCGCGGGCGGGUGUGGAGUCGCUGCGCUGCCGCACUCCAGGGCAAGCUCCAUGGCGACGCGAGGCCACUGCGGCUUGACUCCAUGUGCUGCGUGUAUUAGGUACCCCCUCCCUUCAAUUUUCUGGUAGCCAAGUCAAGUAGUUUUUUUGUUGUUUAGGUACUUCGUGCAGAAAAGUAAGCAGCAGGGAAGCUAGAGAGCAGCGAUGACAUGUUUUUUGUUCUCAGAUGUAAGCCUGUACAUAUGAAUUUCAUAGGAUCUGAAGCCUAACAGCUCUGUGUUCAAGUCCAGAGGAUCUGAAGCCUAAUAGCUCAACCAAGAUUUGCACACAUCGGACCAUGCAGAUUUGCAAUGGACCUACAUAAUUGGCCUAGGAUCAGUUGGCCUACAUUGAGCUGAGAGGAAAGGAAGUAGCUAGUAGGUAUAUGUAUAGCCAUUGAUUCUAUAAAGCAACCAUUACUUUGUAGUUCUGGAGGAUACUCUAUGCAAUCACUUAUAGUUCAACACUGUUGUGUAUUUCGAUCAUGAGAACUUACUGUGAAGUGUGAACUAUGUGUGUACUGGUGUGAAAUAUAUCAUAUUGUGAAACAUGGGAUUCAGAAAUGUACACCGUGGAUCUAGAUUUCUUUU